AACAUAACAUUCCUAACAACAUGUGAAAAACUCGGCCCUUUCUGCUUUCCUUAACAGAAAGUUAAAUAAAGCACCUGCUACUUAACUUGGCAGGUUAAGUAUCAGGUGCUGAUCAACAGCUUAGCGCUAAUCUGUUGAUUAACUUUGAUGAAUAAUUAUUAUUUGCUUAAUAACCCCUUUUUUGCAGAAUUUGAAAGUCGUGAAAUAAAACUAAUCCACUUGAGAAGUGCUGGGUAGAACGAAUUUUCAAACAGGUUAUUUGUUUUAUCUUAAAUGCAAAAUGUACAUUAUUUGUACAGUUGAGGCUUAAUUACUGCGCUGAUCAUGUUGUUCUUUCAGCAAAUGGCCUUCUUUUGAGUCGGUAUAGCCCAGUUAAUAAUUAAUUGAUUAAUCAAGCACUAAAUAAGUUACAAUUAUUUAAAUAAUCAACUAAUGAGAAUUAAUCCAAUUAAUUGUUUCGGCCACAGUUUAACUUGGUGUGUCAGAGGAAAAGGUGAGCUGAAUACAAAACACACUACUCAGAUUUCUAUUGUAAAAAAAAUGGAAUUGAAAAUCCUGUGUUUUCGUCUGCCAAUGCAUGAGCUUGUGAAGGUCUAGUCCGUGAAUCCUGCUUAAUUUGUGGCGAUAAUGUGUUUAAAAUGAGGAAAACCUUGAGGGUUCAGAAUACUUAUGCAUCACGCUGUAUAAAAGUUUAAGCUUCUCCCUUUGCUGUGCUUGUAGAAUACAAAAGUCCUGCAAGCUGAUGUGGGA